rnacentral:rRNA from 1 species
GAUGAACGCUGGCGGCGUGCCUAAUACAUGCAAGUCGAGCGCACAGACGAGGAGCUUGCUCCUCUGACGUUAGCGGCGGACGGGUGAGUAACACGUGGAUACCCUACCUAUAAGACUGGGAUAACUUCGGGAAACCGGAGCUAAUACCGGAUAAUAUAUUGAACCGCAUGGUUCAAUAGUGAAAGACGGUUUUGCUGUCACUUAUAGAUGGAUCCGCGCCGCAUUAGCUAGUUGGUAAGGUAACGGCUUACCAAGGCAACGAUGCGUAGCCGAACUGAGAGGGUGAUCGGCCACACUGGAACUGAGACACGGUCCAGACGCCUACGGGAGGCAGCAGUAGGGAAUCUUCCGCAAUGGGCGAAAGCCUGACGGAGCAACAGAGCGUGAGUGAUGAAGGUCUUCGGAUCGUAAAAAUCUGUUAUUAGGGAAGAACAAAUGUGUAAGUAACUAUGCACGUCUUGACGGUACCUAAUCAGAAAGCCACGGCUAACUACGUG